AAUAAAAUUAUAUAUUUUAAAAAAUUGUCGAUAUGUUCAAUAUGUUCGAAUAUUUAAAAAUAGUUAAUAAUAAAUAGCAAAAGAAGAAAAGAAAAGAGAAGAUAAGUAUCGACUUUAGAAAGUUCUCUUUAAAAUUUCAAAUCACGGUCAACGUACUCUCUUUUCUCCAAAGGCCCCCUAGAGCAAUAGUAUAAGAACGACGGAGGAAGAUUCGAGGCUUUCUCAUGAACGAUAGAGAAUAAUAAAUCAAUCCUAACGUUUCUAGAGUUAGCGCGACUAUGAAAGGAUCCUAACGAAAAGCUAAGGGAUUAAAGAUCUCGUGGCUUCCCGUUAAACUUUCUCUUGUCAAAUAGCCAGUCGGUAAAAAGACGUUCGUUCGAUCGCACGGUAAAAUCUGUGCCCUUUCGUGUGACACACAAGGGGUCCUUGCAGGUAGGUAAGUAAGUACCAGAGGGAAGAAGAAGAAGAAGAAGAAGAAGUUAACCUUUUCACCGUCUUUCAUGAUGGGCUCUUGUGAUCGUUCUAACAAAGAAGAGAAGUAGAGAGAUAUAGAUAGAUAGAUAAAUAGAUAGAUAGAUAGAUAGAAAGAAAGAGAGAGAGAGAAAGAGAAAGAGAGAGAAAUAUACAAAAAAGAUAUAGAGAUGAGUCAUCAAGAAGAGAAGCAAUGAAGAGUCACACGCUUGGAUGCGUAGGUGAAAUAUAAUGGAGAGAAGAGAGUAUAAGGGCAAAACAAGAAAGAUAAAAAGAGAGAGAGAGAGAGAGAGAGCACUACAAGUGUUUCCCCUGCUUGCUGAGGCGUCGAUAUAUCAGCAGUCGGCGAAAGAAGCUCAAUGUGGCGGUAAAAGCGGACGGUAAUGCAGAUUGUGACCCGUGCACUAGGUGUCUCCUGUUACCGCGUUGCAUUGUGUGUGCAGAGGCGUGCAUCUCGAUGAUCCUCUUUCCUUCUACCCCUCACCUAACCCCAGAGAGAGAGAGAAGAGAGUAAUCCGCCAUAUCUCUUCCUCUAAGCCCUUUUCUCGGCUAAGAUAGGACUCUAGCGAUUUUGUUGUUGCCUCGAUCAAAUCAUUUUUUUUAAAUGAUAUAAAACUAGGGGUCCACGAGAUUUUUUAUAAGAAAUUGAAUAAAGAGGUAUACUACUCGAUGUGCUCGAUUAAAAACUAAAAUGGAAAAAGUAAUAUAUCAGCUUUCUGGAAAUGAUCCAGCUAAAUCAAUCAGAAAGGUAAAAAUAUGUCCUUAUUUCUUUUUUUCUUUCUCUCUUGUAAGAAAAAGGUUCAAACCACUAAAAUGGCUCCAGGAAAACGUUUCGCACGCGAUACCGUCCCUACGUAUUUAGUUCCCAAGGUUGGUAAGUAUGUAUAAACCUUCCAUACAAUGCGCGUGGUACCUACUUACUAUCGAAAGGAUCAAUACAGGGGACAUGCACCGGCCUGCUUGCUUGCUUGCUCGCUCGCUUGCUUGGCUCAGUUUGCUUACUUGCUUGGCUCGCUUGCUUGCUUGCUUGCUUGCUUGCUUACGUUCAUGAAUCUCCCUCGCCAAGACUGUAGGUCACGCAGCGACGCAGAAUCGGCUUUCCGCAGCGAGAGACACGUUUUGCGCCACUCGCGAAACGCGAUACCGUCUCCUUCACCGAACGAUUUCACUCCCGUUUGUCUCCCCAUUUCAAACGUUUCGAGGCGUUCGAGAAAGAAAUAAAUAAAAAAUAAAAGAAACAAAAUAUAUCUAGCCAAUUCUGUUAUCAUUGACUUAUUAUAGCUCGAAAUGAUUCAUCGCAUCAUUCAGAUAUAGAAAUAUCAUGCAUAAAUAUGUCACAUGUAUUGCUAUAGAUAUACAAAAUUUCUAUUGGAUUGAAACGAAAAAGAACAUUUUCAUUGGCGUAUGUUGAUUGGUGGUGCGCAACGGGAAACGAAAAGAGAUCACCCUAUGGGUGUACACCGACGGUGCAUCUCGCGGUACGGUAUCCUUCACCCUCUCCGACCAGUUACAUCCUGUAAUCGGAAGACCUCGGUGUCGUUCGUGCGUUCUCGCAUACGGAACGAACGAACGAACGAACGAAUGAACGGAUGGACGGACGGUCGAACGAACGAACGAACGAACGAACGAACGAACGAACGAACGAACGAACGAAUGGAGAGGAAGAAAGCUUCUGCUCUCCGAGUUCAUAGUUUCUUCCAAAACAUAUCGUAUGCGAGGGUUGGUCGUGUGUUUCCGUAGUCAUACGGACGCGUUUAAUGUUUACGAUAGAUCCAAACCGAUCACAAGACGAAACUUUUUAGACGUUAAGGGUGGAUGGAAUCAAUCGUAAGAAGUAGUACUAACAAUAUUAAUAUCGGAACUAUGUUCAAAUUAUACUUUACCCAAGUUAAUAUCUCUUUCUUUCUUUCUCCCCCUCUCUCUCUCUCUCUAUCUCUCUGUUUCAGUCUUUAAUCAUGGGUAUUAGAAAUGGCAGGAACUUUGAAAUAUCCGAUUGGUUUGGGGUUUAAUUCCAAAUAUGAAGAUUCUGAAACUAAGGAAAUGAUUCCUGAUUCGUAUUAAACUUUUUCGUUCGAAUAACAGUGAUGAUUUCUCUUUGUAUCAUUUGGUAUACGUUACCACGAGCAAAUCCGUAAUCAUUUUGAGAGAUGCCUGGAAGAGAAUGAAGAAGAAUCCUUUUCCCGCAAACUCCAGCAAAAUAUACUCAAUCGAAUAAACACAGAGAGCACGAGAUAUACCGGCUAACACAACAACUUGCGUGCCAGCAAUAAUGAAUUUCGCUGGCCUUGCGAGCCGAAGGGGAGAGAAUAUCCCUUCUCCGCGCCCUCCCACCCCCUCCUUCGUGACUCGAGACCCUUGGCCAAUCACGCCCAUGGGUAAAGGAGAGGAGAAGCUCGAGGCACAUCUCGCGCGUGGCGCCUCGUGCGUUUCGGUCCGACGACGACCGAAACGCCACGAUUAGCCCGAAUUCGUAUGAUUACAUCGUGCGGAAGAAUGGUAGAAAGAGAAAAAGAAUAAGAGACAAAAGAGAGAAGCGAAGAACCGGAAUUCGUGUUCUCGUACGACUCGAGUAAAACUCGACCGAGACUUAUUUGCUAUCAUCGGAACGAUCAGUACUGUUUAUCGGACGUUACCAAUAAUACGAAACCUAUCAAUAUCCUUAUAUAAAGUCCAAUAAAAUUUUAAGAAGAAUUUAAGUUAUGAUUGUUCAUCUAUUAGAACUUAAUUCGAUGAUGUUUAUAUAUUUAUCGGCAUUAGUUAAAAACAAUUUGCAAUAAGAUAUAUUUUUCUUAUUGUUAAAUAAAAAUCGUUUUUAAUAUCGAUGUGUGAAUAAAAAUCAAGGAAAAAUAACGGAUAAUAAUAGUCGUAAUACGUAAUAGAGCGUGGAAGGAUCGAAGAGAAGGACAAACGGAGGUUCGACGCUCGGAGCGUCGUGACAGCGAUCCGCUCUAGUCGACUGCCGUCCAUUGAAAGAGCAGACGAGAGAGAGACAGCGGAUGGUAGCACGCGCGACGAGGGUGGUAAUGGUGGGGAUACGGCCGGCAGGUUCGGCUCCUCCCGAAGCGAGACGACGCGACACGAUCGUCGUCGUUGCUCGACUGGACGCCCGCCGCGGUGUGUGUAUAUAAAUAGACGGUACGUCGACCGACCGUCUGCUGCUCUCCUCUCACCGGUGUUACGCUACUGCAUGCGGAGCAAGUACUCGCGUGCUACGAGCCAGAGAGGGUGCUUUUUCUAUCGAUCUCUCUCGCACAGUGCGCGACUUGUGUUUCUGCCUUAUCGACACCUUUCGAGCUUGAGAAGAACCGACGAAAGACGACACAAUGAAUGAAUGACGAUCGAUUUUCAGAUCGUAUAAUAUUCGAUACAACUUUUUAUGUGUAUGCAUAUACAUAUAUGUAUAUACAUAUAUAAAUAUAAAUAAAUAUAUAUACAAACACACAAUGAGAUCUAGAUAAAAAAAAGUCUUUCUCUCUCUUAAGUAUAUACAUAAUUCUUAAUUUCUUAAUCGAGAUAAAUUUCAUCCUUAUUUAAAUAGAAUAUCAAGAAGAAUUAAAAUCAUUUAAAAAAUCAUUUAAAAGCACAUUUUAAGGUGAUACGAUUUCCUAACGGUGAUGACAUUUCUAUGUUACUUCUAUACUCGUUAGGAAUAAGGUCUAGUUGUUGGUAGUAGUGGUGGUGGUGGUGGGACUUUAACGACGAGGCGGUUCAAUGGGGGGAUUGGGGUUGGCUGUCGUGAAGAAGCAGAAAACCUGGCUCGUCGCCUAGGUGGAUAUUUCAUAAGAGCUGGAGGGAAAAACGUUCUCUUUAAAGGAGAAAGGAUAACGACGAGACAAAUCAUGUGAAGCUUGAAAGGAACGACGAUUGGAGAAACAUCCUCAUAAUGACACAUUAACGUCUUGUUAUAUUUUAUGUGUUGACGCGAGAAUGCUGUCAAAGGAGAAAGUACAUUACGAGGCAACAAACAUAAGUUCUACAAUAUUAUAGACAAAAGCAAGCAACCCGUUAUUUUCCUUCAACUUGUAAAACCGGAUCAUCAACUAGUAAAGAGAAGAAGGACGCGUCACACACAAGUCGGCGCUGUAGGGCAACGAAGAAAUUCGAGAGGUUGGUCCUUAUCCCUUCUUUUCUUUCUUUAGUAAUUUCUCUUUCUCUCUCUCUCUCUCUCUCUCUCUCUCUCUCUCUCUCUCUCUCUCUCUCUCUCUCUCUCUUCCGCCAUCUGGGAUUCGGCUGUCUCAGAGGACCGUGAAAAAGACACUGAGGAAUAUAUAAGGAUGAAGAAUCUCGUGCGAGAAGUUUUCAUGGAAUUCGAAGUGGAUUUUUGCGGUUCGUGGAAGAAUCCACGACGGCAAGGUCGAGGACAACGAAAGGUGGCGGCUGUGGUGUAGCAAUGAUGGUGGCGAGGGUGGAAGGGGAAAAUGUGCGAGGUCGAGACCUGGGGAGCGAGAAAGAGAAAGAGAAAGAGAGAGAAGAGAGAGCGAGAGAGCGAGAGAACGGAAAGAGAGGGGAAGGUACGGUGGAGGGGAAAGAAGAGAGAUACCGAGGUCGAUGGAGGCAAAGGGGGACAAGCAGGGGUGUUAUUGCGUGGUAGUGUGGUUAAGCGUAUUGAUCCCAAUCACUACGAUAUGUCCAGGCUCCGCCGCCUCGGGCACCUCUGGCCGGGUCAUCGCUAGAAACGAGAGAAUCCGUUAGAAACUAUGAUCAGCGUUGCGGAAGGUUCUCCGACAAGAGGAGACAACAAUUUAAUGCCACUCACACGGAAUAAGGAACAAAAAAGAAAGAAGAAUAAAGAACACGCGAUUCGAAUUGAAGAGAAACCGGAAGACACAGAGGGCGUGCGGAACGCGUAAAAUGGUGGAAGGUGGUUCCCUACGGCGAAUUUCUCGAAGGAAAUCUUCAUCGUGGAAAAUGAAAACAACGAACAUACGAAAACGAAAAUACGAAGAUCUGUGAAAAAUAUCUCAAAAUGAAAAACUGUUAGUUGUUAAUGUAAUAGUCAUACAUAUAUAUAUAUAUAUAUAUAUAUAUAUAUAUAUAUAUAUAUAUAUAUAUAAUCGUUAAAAGAUUUGAUCCUUCCAUUUCCUACUUUUUCUUUGACACCCUUUUUUCUUUUCUCCUCUUCCUACUUCUCGUCCUCCUCCACCAUCUUCUUCUUGUUCUUGUUUUUAUCAUUAAGGCGUACGCGCACGCGACGACGGAACGAUUAAUGAAGAGCAUGGAGACGAUGCGACACGCGAUGAAAAUAAGAAAAAAAAACAAGAAGAAAAUAAAAGGAGAAAAAAAAGAAAAAGAGAAAGAAAAUAAGAAUCUGGCAACGCAGCGUAAGAACGUUUGCUUACUAGUAAGACUCGCCGUACAUGUCGCCAUACGUACGUAUUACUACUCUCUCCUCCUUCACUCUUCUACUCUUCCUCCUCCUCCUCCACCUCCUCCUCGUCAUCCUCCUCCUCCUCCACCUCCUCCUCCUCCUCCUACUGGCUCUUCCUACUCUUUCUUCCAUAUCGCAUCGUACGUAAAUGCCUCGACGAGUUUGGUGCACUGCCGUUACGAGCGCUAAUUGGACACCGUGAACGAGCGCGCGCGCGCUCUCGCUCGCGCACUCGCGCGAAUUAUCGACUCUCGGUGAUCGGACCAAAAUCGAUCGACAAACCAAAUGACCAAUGAAAAGAACGCCUAUGAUAUAUGCUAUGAACUCUAGGACGAAUUUUUGUUAAUUGUUUUUUUCCUUUUUUUUUUUUUUUUUUUUAAGACAUGUUUAAAAAUAAUAAUCAUUGUUAGAUAAUAACUAUUAUUUUAUAAUCUAAAUGAAACAUAUUAAAAUAUUAGAUCUUUUGUACCAUACAAAACAUUGUUUUUUAAAUUUUUUCAACGAUCAGUCAGUAUUAUUUGUUUUUCAUUUCCUCUUCUUUCGUUUACAAUCGAUCAACAAAUCAAAUUUCCAUCGUCGUACCGAUAUGAAAUUUGUAAGAGAAACGAUGAAAAAUCAUAGGAAUAUAUUGUUCUACGAUGGAAAGAUUGAGUUUAUUCGAAUAAAAACGAGAAGAAGAAUAUUCGCUAUAAGUCGAUUCGGUAAAUUGAACUCAACUGUAAGGAAAGCAACAUUGUGAAGUUCGAGGAGAGACAGUCUCGAAGACGAGAGUCGCUACGAUCGAUCCCACAACGUUCCUCGGAUGGUCGACAUUAUUGGAGUUACGUAAUGGUACUUGGGCGGCAACGCAUAGAGAAAGAGAGAGAGAGAGAGAGAGAGAGAGGGAGAGAGAGAUUUUGUCGCCUAUAGCAAGUGUAUGGGUAUAUAUAUAUAUUCGUAGAAAUCAAAUUUCCCGCGCCUCGCUCCCUGCACUAUGAUCUUAAACUAUACAAAGAUCGAUCGAGCAUAAGCGACAUAUGACUUCGCGUUUCUUCUUUGUGUAUCUUUGCUAAUAGGUCUCAUCUACUGAUAUUUUUCAUGAAGUUAAACGACAUAUUAGAAGGAUAUAAAUCAACGAUAAAACCAGAGAGAAAGAGAGAGUGAGAGAAAGAGAGAGAGAGAGAGAGAGAGAGAGAGAGAGAGAGAGAGAGAAAGAAAGAGAGAGAGAGAAAGAGAGAGAGAGAGAGAGAGAAAGAAAGAGAGAGAGAGAAAGAGAGAGAGAGAAAGAGAGAGAGAGAAAGAGAACGCCAUGUUGUUUCUAUUGCUUACCAACAGUACCUCGAAUUUUCUACCUUCAUUUUUUUUUUUCACCGACAAGUCUAGAUUUACACAGUUGGAAACAUUCCUUUCACCAAUCGCAAUAUAUAUGUGCAAAGUUCUUUGAGGAAUUACGAAAUUGCCAUGGAGAUUAUGCUGCUAUCGGCGAUCUCUCUCUUUCUCUUUCAUUUUUAUAUUAGUGUAUGUAUGUGUGUGCGGGUGUAUCUAUUGAGAAUACAUAUAUAUAUAAAAACUAUUUUAAUUAGUAAUAAUUCAAUUUCAACAUAGAUAUAAUAUGAAAAGAGAAGUUCUGCAAGUUUUGAAGAAAAAAUAUUUUUGCAUUUUGAGAUUAUAUAGUUGUCCUUAAAUAUAUUAUUGUAUCGAUGAUUUAAAGAGCCAUUUAAAUAAAACAAAAUAAGUUCAACAAAUAUAUGAUGUAUCUGUAUAACAUAACACACACACACACACACACACACACACACACACAAACACAUAUACACACACAUUAUAUGUAUAUAUGUAUGUAUAAAAAUAUAUAAAUAUUUCUUUCGAUUCAUUUCUAUAUAAAAAAUUAAACUCAACAUAGAUAUGACAUUCAGAAGAAUAAAAAACAUUACUGAUUUCUGAAAAAAUAUUUUUGCAUUUGGAGGUUAGAUCGUUAUCGCGAAAGAUAUCACUUGUUGUCGACGAUUUAAAAACGAGAAAAGAAAAGAAAAGAAAAACAUCUACAGGGCGCAAUUUUUAAUUUAGUAAGAAAAAUGUAUUUUACAUAGAUAUAAUAUAUCUAUAUAAUAUAUAUAAAUAAAUCUUCCGAGAUUUAUUUUAAAAUGAAAAAUAAAGUACGCCAUGAAUGUAUGAUGUUUCUCUUCAUAGGCAAUAUAUAUAUUGCAUAAUUAUU